GAUGAACGCUGGCGGCGUGCCUAAUACAUGCAAGUCGAGCGAACAGAUAAGGAGCUUGCUCCUUUGACGUUAGCGGCGGACGGGUGAGUAACACGUGGAUAACCUACCUAUAAGACUGGGAUAACUUCGGGAAACCGGAGCUAAUACCGGAUAACAUAUUGAACCGCAUGGUUCAAUAGUGAAAGGCGGCUUUGCUGUCACUUAUAGAUGGAUCCGCGCCGUAUUAGCUAGUUGGUAAGGUAACGGCUUACCAAGGCAACGAUACGUAGCCGACCUGAGAGGGUGAUCGGCCACACUGGAACUGAGACACGGUCCAGACUCCUACGGGAGGCAGCAGUGGGGAAUCUUGCGCAAUGGGCGAAAGCCUGACGGAGCAACGCCGCGUGAGUGAUGAAGGUCUUCGGAUCGUAAAACUCUGUUAUCAGGGAAGAACAAAUGUGUAAGUAACUGUGCACAUCUUGACGGUACCUGAUCAGAAAGCCACGGCUAACUACGUGC
rnacentral:rRNA from 1 species